GUGCUCGUUUUGGCAGCACAUAUACUAAAAUUGGAAUAAUACAGAGAAGAUCAGCAUGGCUCCUGUGCAAGGAUAACAAGAAAAAAAAAAAAAGGAAAGAAAGAAAA